GGUAUCAGAAGUGCGAAUGCUGACAUAAGUAACGAUAAAGCGGGUGAAAAGCCCGCUCGCCGGAAGACCAAGGGUUCCUGUCCAACGUUAAUCGGGGCAGGGUGAGUCGACCCCUAAGGCGAGGCCGAAAGGCGUAGUCGAUGGGAAACGGGUUAAUAUUCCCGUACUUGGUGUUACUGCGAAGGGGGGACGGAGAAGGCUAUGUUGGCCGGGCGACGGUUGUCCCGGUUUAAGCGUGUAGGUGUGUGUUCCAGGUAAAUCCGGUUCACUUUAACACUGAGGCGUGAUGACGAGGCACUACGGUGCUGAAGCAACAAAUGCCCUGCUUCCAGGAAAAGCCUCUAAGCAUCAGGUAACAUCAAAUCGUACCCCAAACCGACACAGGUGGUCAGGUAGAGAAUACCAAGGCGCUUGAGAGAACUCGGGUGAAGGAACUAGGCAAAAUGGUGCCGUAACUUCGGGAGAAGGCACGCUGACAUGUAGGUGAAGUGAUUUACUCAUGGAGCUGAAGUCAGUCGAAGAUACCAGCUGGCUGCAACUGUUUAUUAAAAACACAGCACUGUGCAAACACGAAAGUGGACGUAUACGGUGUGACGCCUGCCCGGUGCCGGAAGGUUAAUUGAUGGGGUCAGCGCAAGCGAAGCUCCUGAUCGAAGCCCCGGUAAACGGCGGCCGUAACUAUAACGGUCCUAAGGUAGCGAAAUUCCUUGUCGGGUAAGUUCCGACCUGCACGAAUGGCGUAAUGAUGGCCAGGCUGUCUCCACCCGAGACUCAGUGAAAUUGAACUCGCUGUGAAGAUGCAGUGUACCCGCGGCAAGACGGAAAGACCCCGUGAACCUUUACUAUAGCUUGACACUGAACAUUGAGCCUUGAUGUGUAGGAUAGGUGGGAGGCUUUGAAGUGUGGACGCCAGUCUGCAUGGAGCCGGCCUUGAAAUACCACCCUUUAAUGUUUGAUGUUCUAACGUGGACCCGUGAUCCGGGUUGCGGACAGUGUCUGGUGGGUAGUUUGACUGGGGCGGUCUCCUCCUAAAGAGUAACGGAGGAGCACGAAGGUUGGCUAAUCCUGGUCGGACAUCAGGAGGUUAGUGCAAUGGCAUAAGCCAGCUUGACUGCGAGCGUGACGGCGCGAGCAGGUGCGAAAGCAGGUCAUAGUGAUCCGGUGGUUCUGAAUGGAAGGGCCAUCGCUCAACGGAUAAAAGGUACUCCGGGGAUAACAGGCUGAUACCGCCCAAGAGUUCAUAUCGACGGCGGUGUUUGGCACCUCGAUGUCGGCUCAUCACAUCCUGGGGCUGAAGUAGGUCCCAAGGGUAUGGCUGUUCGCCAUUUAAAGUGGUACGCGAGCUGGGUUUAGAACGUCGUGAGACAGUUCGGUCCCUAUCUGCCGUGGGCGCUGGAGAACUGAGGGGGGCUGCUCCUAGUACGAGAGGACCGGAGUGGACGCAUCACUGGUGUUCGGGUUGUCAUGCCAAUGGCACUGCCCGGUAGCUAAAUGCGGAAGAGAUAAGUGCUGAAAGCAUCUAAGCACGAAACUUGCCCCGAGAUGAGUUCU
rnacentral:rRNA from 1 species